rnacentral:rRNA from 1 species
GUAACGCGUGAGGAACCUGCCUCAAAGAGGGGGACAACAGUUGGAAACGACUGCUAAUACCGCAUAAGCCCACGGCUCGGCAUCGAGCAGAGGGAAAAGGAGUGAUCCGCUUUGAGAUGGCCUCGCGUCCGAUUAGCUGGUUGGUGAGGUAACGGCCCACCAAGGCGACGAUCGGUAGCCGGACUGAGAGGUUGAACGGCCACAUUGGGACUGAGACACGGCCCAGACUCCUACGGGAGGCAGCAGUGGGGAAUAUUGCACAAUGGGGGAAACCCUGAUGCAGCGACGCCGCGUGGAGGAAGAAGGUCUUCGGAUUGUAAACUCCUGUUGUUGAGGAAGAUAAUGACGGUACUCAACAAGGAAGUGACGGCUAACUACGUGCCAGCAGCCGCGGUAAAACGUAGGUCACAAGCGUUGUCCGGAAUUACUGGGUGUAAAGGGAGCGCAGGCGGGAGAACAAGUUGGAAGUGAAAUCCAUGGGCUCAACCCAUGAACUGCUUUCAAAACUGUUUUUCUUGAGUAGUGCAGAGGUAGGCGGAAUUCCCGGUGUAGCGGUGGAAUGCGUAGAUAUCGGGAGGAACACCAGUGGCGAAGGCGGCCUACUGGGCACCAACUGACGCUGAGGCUCGAAAGUGUGGGUAGCAAACAGGAUUAGAUACCCUGGUAGUCCACACCGUAAACGAUGAUUACUAGGUGUUGGAGGAUUGACCCCUUCAGUGCCGCAGUUAACACAAUAAGUAAUCCACCUGGGGAGUACGACCGCAAGGUUGAAACUCAAAGGAAUUGACGGGGGCCCGCACAAGCAGUGGAGUAUGUGGUUUAAUUCGACGCAACGCGAAGAACCUUACCAAGUCUUGACAUCCUGCGACGCACAUAGAAAUAUGUGUUUCCUUCGGGACGCAGAGACAGGUGGUGCAUGGUUGUCGUCAGCUCGUGUCGUGAGAUGUUGGGUUAAGUCCCGCAACGAGCGCAACCCUUAUGGUCAGUUACUACGCAAGAGGACUCUGGCCAGACUGCCGUUGACAAAACGGAGGAAGGUGGGGAUGACGUCAAAUCAUCAUGCCCUUUAUGACUUGGGCUACACACGUACUACAAUGGCGUUAAACAAAGAGAAGCAAGACCGCGAGGUGGAGCAAAACUCAGAAACAACGUAACAGUUCGGACUGCAGGCUGCAACUCGCCUGCACGAAGUCGGAAUUGCUAGUAAUCGUGGAUCAGCA